rnacentral:rRNA from 1 species
UGAGGAACAUGACCUUCGGCGGGGGAGUAGCCGGCCCAACGGCCGGGUAAUACCGCGUACGACCACAUGGGGACAUCCCUGAGUGGUGAAAGCAGCAAUGCGCCGAUGGAGUGCCUCGCGGCCUAUCAGCUAGUUGGUGAGGUAACGGCUCACCAAGGCGACGACGGGUANCUGGUCUGAGAGGAUGGCCAGCCACAUUGGGACUGAGACACGGCCCAGACCUGUACCGGGGAGG